UGAUGUUCUAUCUGGUGUUUCCAUGCCAACACCCUCUUCUGAACAACGCCCUUUCCAACCCAACAUUAGUCUGUUUGUUUGCCGUGACUGAGGUAGGAUAAUGCAGGUCGACGCAGGGGUCCAAGCCGUCCCCCCUCGACUCUCCUCUCCGAUUAGUAUGCAGCAGCAAAGGUUCAUGGGAAAUCAAGUGGCUGGCAGAUGAGUCAUACUGUAAUUGAAGCAGCACUUAAUCCGUCAUCUUUAAUUACCCCAUCGCUUCAAUCUCCUCUCACCCAGGCACACAGACACUGUCUCGGGCUAAUGGAGAGCGAUGAGUUAAAGCAACGCGACUAAACUCAUCUCGGGGGGGGAACAUCUCUCCCACACAUACUGACGGACACCCGCGCAGUUUGCAGCGAAACAGAAAAUAUAAAUGUUUACGGAAAGGGCCGGAAACGGGGCGCCCCUUGGGGGGGGGAUCCUAUCAGGGGUCAGGGGUCUGUCAACUGAGAUGGUCUGGAGUGUGUCUCGAGUGUGUGUGUGGAGUGUGUCUGGACGUCCGGAGAGACACACUGACCUCCAGCUUCACUUGAUUUGAACUUGAGACUGAUGGACGUGGAGUUGGAUGUCUGUUAUUUUAUAUGGAACUUGGCGUCUGAAAUAAAGAUUUAUAUAUAUACCAGAAUGGGAAAAUAUGCACAGCCUAAGACUUAAGUGUCACUAUAGACACGGAUAUGAUGUAUGUCGGCACACAAGCCGUAGUGCUACAUCUAAUAUUACUCCGAGGUAGUUUAUAAUGAAUGUCCGCUCUCUCUUAACGUGCAUCUGGACCUGUGUGCUGAGCAGCAUGUUGAUGGUGGUGUGAACGAUCCCACAUGACAGGGGCCUACAAAAAGGCUUUACUCAGUAAAAAAACACAAAACAACUUUUACUGGCGGGGCUGAGCGCUGUUAGACUCGGAUUUAUAGACACUUAGAGCAUGUGCUGUCAGGCUGCCCGCGCUACGGAGGAUAACCAGAUGUGUGUUUUGGAAAUCGCUCCGAUGCCAGUCCGCUCACCGAGCGCUAAAAGUGCCAACGCUGGGAUGCGGCUCGCCAAGACGGGGCUUUUUCAAAACAACCUCUGGGUCCAUCUCCACUCCGCUGUGUACCUGAUGCCCCCCGAGCGAGCGAGCGAGGUCAGCGUCCAGAUAGAGCCAGAGAGAGAGGCAGACGGAGCGUCACCUAAGAACACACCAUCAUCUCACAUCUCUUCAGUGAUUGGUGGAUGGCCAGGGGGAAGCAGCGAGCUCACGGUA